rnacentral:rRNA from 1 species
GACGAACGCUGGCGGCGUGCUUAACACAUGCAAGUCGAACGAUGAAGCUGGAGCUUGCUCUGGCGUAUUAGUGGCGAACGGGUGAGUAACACGUGAGUAACCUGCCCUUGACUCUGGGAUAACUGCGGGAAACUGUAGCUAAUACCGGAUACGACCCUCGGAGGCAUCUCCUGGGGGUGGAAAGAAUUUCGGUCAAGGAUGGACUCGCGGCCUAUCAGCUAGUUGGUGAGGUAAAGGCUCACCAAGGCGACGACGGGUAGCCGGCCUGAGAGGGUGACCGGCCACACUGGGACUGAGACACGGCCCAGACUCCUACGGGAGGCAGCAGUGGGGAAUAUUGCACAAUGGGCGCAAGCCUGAUGCAGCAACGCCGCGUGAGGGAUGACGGCCUUCGGGUUGUAAACCUCUUUUAGCAGGGAAGAAGCGAAAGUGACGGUACCUGCAGAAAAAGCACCGGCUAACUACGUGCCAGCCGCCGCGGUAA